UCUAAUGUGUUUUGUUUUUUACACAUCAACAUCAAUAUAAGAAAACAGUAACGCUUCAAGGGUGACAAAGCUAACAGAAUAUUAAGCUCGUGAUAAAGCUCGCCAAGAAAAUAGGAACACUACUCAUACUGCCCUAUUGAAGCAAUACUUUAGGGAAAUCAGUGUCGGCGUUGGAAAAAUUAGGAAGAGUGGCCUGAAGCUGUAUUUCCUUGGAGCUUUCAGACGUGCUAUUAAGUUCUUUAUUUUGUCCAUUUAUAAAUUUGAAAAAGAAGGAUCGGGAUCGUCGAAGAAGGAAACAAAUGACGGUUUCAUUCUAUAAUAAUUAAAAUGCUAUUGAGGAAAUUUCUCGAUUCGUAUGAGUUUAUAAGUCUUUCGCUAACAGACUUUUACUUUAAGAAGCAAUAAACAGGAUCAAAUAUAUUUUCGGUAUUAAGUUCAUUCACUGCCAGUUCUCAAAUCAAGGGUGUACAACGGAAGAGAAGAACUAGCAAUAAACUCUCCGCCAUUAUUUUUAAUCCCCAAGUUGUUGUUUUACAUAACGUUCGUAAGGAGCUGCAACUAUUACACCAUGUUCCAUGUGACAUCUUAAGUAAUUAAUAAUAAUAAAAUAAAUUAAAACAAACAUUUGUCUAAACUGGGGUUAAUUAUUAUAUUUUCUUCAUCAAUUGUUUUCUAAUUUAAAUUAUCAAGAAGAUUAAUAUUAGGUUAACCUAAUAUACUGUGAAUAAAAUAUUCCUCAAUACGGCCCCAAUAACCUGAUUAAAAAUACAUGAAGUGUUUUGCCAAUAAUGCAGUUCUAGAUUGCAGUGGCCAUGCAAUUA